rnacentral:rRNA from 1 species
AACGCUGGCGGCAUGCCUUACACAUGCAAGUCGAACGGCAGCACGGGAGCAAUCCUGGUGGCGAGUGGCGAACGGGUGAGUAAUAUAUCGGAACGUGCCCGGUCGUGGGGGAUAACGUAGCGAAAGCUACGCUAAUACCGCAUACGAUCUACGGAUGAAANCGGGGGAUCGCAAGACCUCGCGCGAUUGGAGCGGCCGAUAUCAGAUUAGGUAGUUGGUGAGGUAAAGGCUCACCAAGCCGACGAUCUGUAGCUGGUCUGAGAGGACGACCAGCCACACUGGGACUGAGACACGGCCCAGACUCCUACGGGAGGCAGCAGUGGGGAAUUUUGGACAAUGGGCGCAAGCCUGAUCCAGCAAUGCCGCGUGCAGGAUGAAGGCCUUCGGGUUGUAAACUGCUUUUGUACGGAACGAAACGGUGAGCUCUAAUACAGUUUGCUAAUGACGGUACCGUAAGAAUAAGCACCGGCUAACUACGUG